rnacentral:rRNA from 1 species
UACGGAGGAUGCGAGCGUUAUCCGGAUUUAUUGGGUUUAAAGGGUGCGUAGGCGGGAUGCCGAGUCAGCGGUAAAAAUGCGGUGCUCAACGCCGUCGAGCCGUUGAAACUGGCGUUCUUGAGUGGGCGAGAAGUAUGCGGAAUGCGUGGUGUAGCGGUGAAAUGCAUAGAUAUCACGCAGAACUCCGAUUGCGAAGGCAGCAUACCGGCGCCCUACUGACGCUGAGGCACGAAAGCGUGGGUAUCGAACAGG